CGUAUAUUAAAGUUGUUGCAGUUAAAAAGCUCGUAGUUGGAUUUGUGGCGUACGGUGUGUUCCGGGCACUUGUUGUCUGAGUAACCUGCUGUUGCCAUCCUUGGGUGGAACCUGUGUGGCAUUAGGUUGUCGUGCAGGGGAUGCCCAUCAUUUACUGUGAAAAAAUUAGAGUGUUCAAAGCAGGCUUAUGCCGUUGAAUAUAUUAGCAUGGAAUAAUGAGAUAGGACUUUUUUACUAUUUUGUUGGUUUGCGUAAAGAGGUAAUGAUUAAUAGGGACAGUUGGGGG
rnacentral:rRNA from 1 species